rnacentral:rRNA from 1 species
AACGAACGCUGGCGGCAUGCCUAACACAUGCAAGUCGAACGAGACCUUCGGGUCUAGUGGCGCACGGGUGCGUAACGCGUGGAAAUCUGCCCUUGGGUCCGGAAUAACUCAGAGAAAUUUGAGCUAUUACCGGAUGAUGACGUAAGUCCAAAGAUUUAUCGCCCAGGGAUGAGCCCGCGUAGGAUCAGCUAGUUGGUGAGGUAAAGGCUCACCAAGGCGACGAUCCUUAGCUGGUCUGAGAGGAUGAUCAGCCACACUGGGACUGAGACACGGCCCAGACUCCUACGGGAGGCAGCAGUGGGGAAGUAUUGGAC